rnacentral:rRNA from 1 species
UGAACCUGCUGCUGGAUCAUUA